ACAAAUCGCGGGCGCAAUAAAUCCUGCAGACCAAACAAUCCCUCCGCAAAUGGCUUUCCUUAUUCUGCUCGGAGAAGACAACUAGCCGUGCGGUCUUAUUAGCUCAGAUCAGAUGAGACCAGGAUUUG